GGCCCCCUUAGGUAAGCCGGGUAUGGUUGGCUCGCGGACAGAUGGGGGCGGUGCUCCCUGAUAAAGCGGCGGUUGGGGUUGCGCGUGGGUAACCUGCCUGUAAGACUGGGAUAACUCCGGGAAACCGGGGCUAAUACCGGAUGGUUGUUUGAACCGCAUGGUUCAGACAUAAAAGGUGGCUUCGGCUACCACUUACAGAUGGACCCGCGGCGCAUUAGCUAGUUGGUGAGGUAACGGCUCACCAAGGCAACGAUGCGUAGCCGACCUGAGAGGGUGAUCGGCCACACUGGGACUGAGACACGGCCCAGACUCCUACGGGAGGCAGCAGUAGGGAAUCUUCCGCAAUGGACGAAAGUCUGACGGAGCAACGCCGCGUGAGUGAUGAAGGUUUUCGGAUCGUAAAGCUCUGUUGUUAGGGAAGAACAAGUGCCGUUCAAAUAGGGCGGCACCUUGACGGUACCUAACCAGAAAGCCACGGCUAACUACGUGCCAGCAGCCGCGGUAAUACGUAGGUGGCGAGCGUUGUCCGGAAUUAUUGGGCGUAAAGGGCUCGCAGGCGGUUUCUUAAGUCUGAUGUGAAAGCCCCCGGCUCAACCGGGGAGGGUCAUUGGAAACUGGGGAACUUGAGUGCAGAAGAGGAGAGUGGAAUUCCACGUGUAGCGGUGAAAUGCGUAGAGAUGUGGAGGAACACCAGUGGCGAAGGCGAACUCUCUGGGUCUGUAACUGAACGCUGAGGAGCGGA
rnacentral:rRNA from 1 species